AAUCAAUGACGUCACACGGCGUGAAGCAAACGCGUCGUGCGCUGCGUUGUGUGCGUUGUGUGCUGGUGUGUGUGACCAUACAAAGAAAGCUUUACAUCAGCGCGCUGUGGCCACUGGCUGAACCGACUCAAGCGGGUUGACUGUUCCUUUGACGAAAGCUAUCCUAACCGCGUACAAAAUGGCGCAAUAUGUCAGGAAUUUGUCAUGUAUCAAGUUAUAUUUUCUUUUGUAUAAUAAUUACAUUCGUUUAGUUAAGCAACUUGUUUAUAGUGAUAAUUGUUGAAAAGUGUAGAAAAAUGACACCUGCAUUAUAUCCUGGGAUGAAGAAACGUUAUUUUAUGUCGAUUUCUUUAGAUGACAAAGGAGGUAACCAAAUAGCAUAUCUUACAAAAUCUGAGGACAAUAAUAAGGAUCGUUUAUCAAGGUUAAAAUAAUUAUUUUACUAAAUUAAGACAUUAACAUAUCCAUGUGUUCGACAUAACCUCACUUCUUAAAUCUCUUAAAUUAGUCGGUUGAGAAGCGGAUCGAGAAUGAUUGUUUGAAUAUAAGUCGUACAAAAUUGGAAUGAAACGAUGAACAAUAUACAGAUCUUUAGACAGGCUCAAAUAAUGUAUGUUUAGGAGCAACUUGAAGAUAAUGGAGAUUUAUCUUCUUAAUAUAAAACCUCUAAAAUUGGGAACAGUAUGUCAUAUAUGCAUGAACUUGAUUGAUGUAUUGAUGUAUAAUGAACUGAAGAUAUAAUGAAUUCAAUCAGGUUAAAAAAAAUGUAUGUGCAAAAGCGACUCGAAGACGAUUUAGAUUUGUCUCCUGAAUAUAAAACUUCCAAGAAGUACAUCAUAUAUGAAUAUCCUGUAUCCUCGCAUUUGAUGUAAUGAACUGGCGAUAGAAUGAAAUCAGUCAGUGUUAAAAAUGUAUGUGUAAAAGCGACUUUAAGAUGAUGGAGAUUUGUACACUGAACAUAAAACUUCCAAAAUUUGGGGCA